GACGAACCGUGCGAACGUUAUUCGGAAUCACUGGGCUUAAAGCGCGUGUAGGCGGGACGGCACGUCGGUCGCUGAAAUCCCCCGGCUCAACCGGGGAACGGGCGCCGAUACGACCGCCCUGGAGGGGCGUAGGGGGACCUGGAACUUCCGGUGGAGCGGUGAAAUGCGUUGAGAUCGGAAGGAACGCCCGUGGCGAAAGCGAGGUCCUGGACGCCUACUGACGCUGAGACGCGAAAGCCAGGGGAGCGAACGGG
rnacentral:rRNA from 2 species